GCCAGCGAUGGCCGGUUGCGAGGUGCUGCAUGGUUGUCGUCAGCUCGUGCCGUGAGGUGUCGGGUUAAGGUCCCAUAACGAGCGCAACCCCUACUGCUAGUUGCCAGCGGGUCAUGCCGGGGACUCUAGCGGAACUGCCAGCGUAAGCUGCGAGGAAGGUGGGGAUGACGUCAAAUCAGCACGGCCUUACGUCCAGGGCUACACACGUGUUACAAUGGCCAGUACAGAGGGCAGCCACCCCGCGAGGGGGCGCUAAUCCUAAAAGCUGGUCCCAGUUCGGAUCGGAGUCUGCAACCCGACUCCGUGAAGCUGGAUUCGCUAGUAAUCGCGCAUCAGCCACGGCGCGGUGAAUACGUUCCCGGGCCUU
rnacentral:rRNA from 1 species